rnacentral:rRNA from 2 species
GACAAGAAAUAACAACACUGGAAAUUUCAUUUCUAGUGAUUGGAAUGAUGGGAAUCCAAACCCCUUUCAGAGUAACAAUUGGAGGGCAAGUCUGGUGCCAGCAGCCGCGGUAAUUCCAGCUCCAAUAGCGUAUAUUAAAGUUGUUGCAGUUAAAAAGCUCGUAGUUGGAUAUCUGCUGGGAGCAAUCGGUCCGCCCUUUUACAGGGGUGUGCACUUGAUGAAUUCUGGCAUGUUUUUAUCUAUUUCCUAAUGAUAAUGAUUAUUAUUAGGUUAAUUCCUAAUAAUAAUUAUUAUUGGGUUAGAUAAACCGUUACUUUGAGAAAAUUAGAGUGUUUAAUGCAGGCUGUUUUAUGCCUUGAAUACUGCAGCAUGGAAUAACAAUAUAGGAUUUCGGUUCUAUUUUGUUGGUUUUUAGGACUGGAAUAAUGGUUAAUAGGGACAGUUGGGGGCAUUCGUAUUUAACUGUCAGAGGUGAAAUUCUUAGAUUUGUUAAAGACGAACUAAUGCGAAAGCAUUUGCCAAAGAUGUUUUCAUUAAUCAAGAACGAAAGUUAGGGGCUCGAAGACGAUCAGAUACCGUCGUAGUCUUAAC